ensembl:snoRNA small nucleolar RNA SNORD65
AAAUAAUAGUCACAAAAUUGCUGGAAUUACCAUCAGAUUGUACAGUGGCAACAUUUGGUUUUCUGAAC